rnacentral:rRNA from 1 species
GUUAGGAAUAUUGGACAAUGGGCGCAAGCCUGAUCCAGUCAUGCCGCGUGAGUGAUGAAGGCCUUCGGGUUGUAAAGCUCUUUAGCCGAUGAUUAUAAUGACUGUAGUCGGAAAAUAAGCCCCGGCUAACUUCGUGCCAGCAGCCGCGGUAAUACGAAGGGGGCGAGCGUUAUUCGGAAUCACUGGGCGUAAAGCGUGCGUAGGCGGUUUUGUAAGUUAGGAGUGAAAGCCCAGGGCUCAACCCUGGAAUUGCUCUUAAAACUACAAGGCUAGAAUGUCGGAGAGGAUAGCGGAAUUUCCAGUGUAGCAGUGAAAUGCGUAGAUAUUGGAAGGAACACCAGUGGCGUAAGCGGCUAUCUGGACGACUAUUGACGCUGAGGCACGAAAGCGUGGGGAUCAAACAGGAUUAGAAACCCUGGUAGUCC